rnacentral:rRNA from 1 species
UGGGGAAUAUUGGACAAUGGGCGCAAGCCUGAUCCAGCCAUGCCGCGUGAGUGAUGAAGGCCCUAGGGUUGUAAAGCUCUUUCGGCGGGGACGAUAAUGACGGUACCCGCAGAAGAAGCCCCGGCUAACUUCGUGCCAGCAGCCGCGGUAAUACGAAGGGGGCUAGCGUUGUUCGGAAUCACUGGGCGUAAAGCGCACGCAGGCGGAUCGUUAAGUCAGGGGUGAAAUCCCGAGGCUCAACCUCGGAACUGCCUUUGAUACUGGCGAUCUUCGAGUCCGGGAGAGGUGAGUGGAACUCCGAGUGUAGAGGUGAAAUUCGUAGAUAUUCGGAAGAACACCAGUGGCGAAGGCGGCUCACUGGCCCGGUACUGACGCUCAGGUGCGAAAGCGUGGGGAGCAAACAGGAUUAGAUACCCCGGUAGUCC